rnacentral:rRNA from 1 species
UACGGAGGGGGCGAGCGUUAUUCGGAAUUAUUGGGCGUAAAGGGCGCGUAGGCGGCUUGAUGUGUCAAAGGUGAAAUCCCUCGGCUCAACUGAGGAACUGCCUUUGAAACUGUCUGGCUUGAGGCCGGGAGAGGGUAGCGGAAUUCCCAGUGUAGCGGUGAAAUGCGUAGAUACUGGGAGGAACACCGGUGGCGAAGGCGGCUACCUGGACCACUACUGACGCUGAGAAGCGAAAGCAUGGGGAGCGAACAGG